rnacentral:rRNA from 1 species
AACGAACGCUGGCGGCAUGCCUAACACAUGCAAGUCGAACGAGACCUUCGGGUCUAGUGGCGCACGGGUGCGUAACACGUGGGAAUCUGCCCUUUGCUUCGGAAUAACAGUUAGAAAUGACUGCUAAUACCGGAUGAUGUCGAAAGACCAAAGAUUUAUCGGCAAAGGAUGAGCCCGCGUAGGAUUAGGUAGUUGGUGGGGUAAAGGCCUACCAAGCUGACGAUCCUUAGCUGGUCUGAGAGGAUGAUCAGCCACACUGGGACUGAGACACGGCCCAGACUCCUACGGGAGGCAGCAGUGGGGAAUAUUGGACAAUGGGCGAAAGCCUGAUCCAGCAAUGCCGCGUGAGUGAUGAAGGCCUUAGGGUUGUAAAGCUCUUUUACCAGGGAUGAUAAUGACAGUACCUGGAGAAUAAGCUCCGGCUAACUCCGUG